GUGCUCGCUUUAGGAGCACAUAUACUAAAGUUGGAACCAUACAGAGAAGAUUAGUAUGGCCCCUGCUCAAGGAUGAUAUGCAAAUUUAUGAAGCACUCCAUAUUUUU
ensembl:snRNA U6 U6 spliceosomal RNA